AGGAGAAGAAGAAGAAGAAGAAGCAAAACACUAAUAGAUAAAUCCAGAUAAACUGGAGAAAUCAAAGAAAAGAACAAGAAAUGAACCAGUCAAAUAUGCAACAUCCAAUCAAACCCAGCACAAAUGUGAAGACAAAUUAAAUUCAAAGAUCAAAGCAAAAUUAGGGUUGUAAGAGCAAAAGAAUGAAUUACCUUCUGAUAUUGUUGAAGAGACCUGAACUCGGAUGAAAACCCAUAUUAUCCGGAAAGGGAAGAGAGAGCAUAAAGAAGAGGGUGCGAUUUGAUAAGAGAUGGUAAUUGAAAAGGCGAUUUUAAUUUUACCUUUUCGGGCGGGAAUUAUAGGACGCGAUAUUAGGGGAAAGUGGAGGAGGGUAAUUUUAUCUGUGGUGGAUUGCUGAUCAAUCUCAGCUCAGAUGAUUUAAAAAGCCCAAGGAGGAGUGGGAGGAGGAUAGCACCGCUCCUCAGCCCGGAGGA
rnacentral:misc_RNA from 1 species